GAUGAACGCUGACAGAAUGCUUAACACAUGCAAGUCAACUGUGGCGGACGGGUGAGUAACGCGUAAAGAACUUGCCUCACAGAUAGGGACAACAUUUGGCAACGAAUGCUAAUACCUGAUACUGUGAGAGAGCUUUGCGUCCCAUUAGCGAGUUUGAGAGGUAACGGCUCACCAAGGCGAUGAUGGGUAGCCGGCCUGAGAUGGUGAUCGGCCACAAGGGGACUGAGACACGGCACUUACUCCGACGGGAGGCAGAAGUGGGGAAUAUUGGACAAUGGACCAAAGUCUGAUCCAGCAAUUCUGUGGGCACGAUGAAGUUUUCGGAAUGUAAAGUGCUUUCAGUUGGGAAGCGGUAACAACAGAAGAAGUGACGGAUAAAUACGUGCCAGCAGCCGCGGUAAUAC
rnacentral:rRNA from 1 species